AAAUAAAUAAAUAAAACAAAAACAAAAGAUGGCAAAAUAAUUAUGCAUAUUUGUAUUUAAUUUUAUUUAAUUAAUAUUUUACUACUAAUGUAAAAACGAACAAAUUUUAUUAAACUAGGUUUAUUAUUUGUUUAGUGCAAGAAAAAUGUAUUAACACGAUACACCAACAUAAUUUAAGGGGACCCAUACAAAUAUAUUUAUAUAACUUUUUUUUCCUUUCUUUAUUUUGUUCUUUUGUUUAAAUACGAUGAUAGCAUGUCAUAAAGGCUAUAUGUAUGUCACGCAAGUGCUUAUGUUUUAAUCGUUGCAACAAAUGGUAAAUGCAUGUCAUUCAUAUAUAUGUAUGUAUUUAUUUACUACUUUUUUUAAAAAUAUUUUUGAAACCGACAUCAGACUAAAUUGACAGGACACAAAACUUUAAAGUUAAUAAACUACUUAGAUUAUAAAUACCUCAUAAAUGUUUAUACAUGUACUUACGUUUGUAUGUGCACAUAAUUACAUAUUACUUAUGUGUAUAUAUAAUUUCGAAAUAAUGGAUAAUGGUUAAAAUUAUAUUUAUGAUAAUAUUUUAUUACUUUCAUUUAAAGUCAUUUACACUACAUAAGAGCACACACAGUCAUCAUGAGCACAUUAAUUCUUGUGUUUUUUUUGAUAAUAAAGUAAAAAUAGCUUACAUAAAUAUAUCUUUAAAAAAUAAAAAAAUAUUAAAAAAACAAAAACAAAUUAACAAAAACCAAGGUAUGUUCAGUACACAACUGAAGCUAUAUGAUAAUACAGAAAACGAAAAUAUAUAUAUUUUAUUAAACAACGAGUUAAAUAACAUUUUCAAAAAGAUUGUUAAAAAUGAAAAUGUUAACAUACCUCCACAUUGUUUAAUAGAAAACAAUAAAAUACAUGAAUCUUAUGAAUGUCAGAGUAGCUUAAUACCUUUUUUAGUAAACUAUACAAAACAAAACAUAAAUAAUAUUAAAAACGAUGUAGUUAAUCAUUUAAAUCAAUAUUGUUCACAAUUUAUAAAAUCUUUACUUAUAUCACAUAAUGGUGUUUUAAAUAUAAAAAUAAAACAGGACUACAUAAUUAAAAGGUUUCUUCUAUUUUAUGAAUUAAAUGUGUUAAACAAAAAAAAUAGCAAAAUUAAAGAAAUAAAGAAAAUAAAAAAUGUAGAACAGGAAUGUACAAAAGAUGUGACAAAAGUAACACCACAAAAGCAAAUUAUUUUGUUAGAUUAUUGUGGUGUUAACAUGGGUAAACAUAUGCACUUAGGACAUUUAAAAUCUUUAUUUUUAGGAUAUUCGUUAAGUAAUUUUUUUCGUUAUAAUAAUUAUAUUGUAAAAAAUAGAAGUCAUAUCGGAGAUUGGAAUUUAAAUAUAGCUACAAUAAUCACUUUUUUUAUUUUAUUUCCUAUACAUGAAAAUACUAAUGUUUUAAAUAAGUUUUAUCCACAUAGUUAUAUAAAUAAAAACAAAAUAUAUAAAAAAAGGGAAGAACAUACUAAUACCAACGAUUCUGAAAAACAGGAUGUUGGUAAUUCAUCUAUAAAUACAUACACAAACCAAGUUACUUGUAACAUUAAUUCAGACGCUCUUAAAAAAGACAAUAAUCAACAAUAUGAAGAAAUUGUUAAUUUUUAUUUGGACCUGUUAAAAAAAAUAAAUGAAGAUAAUUUUAAUAAUAAGUACAGAAAUUUCCUUAUGAGUAAGUAUGAACAAAAUAUAAAUGUUGAUACUAUUGAUUAUGUAUAUAAAAUAUCAAAACAACUUUAUUCGUUGUCAGAUGUUUUUCAAAAAUGUUGCAAAAUUAGUUUAUCAUUGAUGUAUGAAAGAAGCCAACAAAUUAUGAAUAUUUGGAAUAGCAUAUGUAGUAAAACAAAAAAGGAAAAUGAAGAAAUAUUUAAAACAUUUGGGAUCAAAAAGUUAAUAGAAAAGGGUGAACAUUUUUACGUAAAAUAUGUUCCUACCAUUUUAAAAAAAAUGAAAGUAGCAAAUAUCCUUUUUGAAUUUAAGGAUAAAUUAUUUGUUUUAUUAAAAGAAAAAAAAUAUAAUGUGUGAACAAAAUAAAAACAGCUGUAAAAAUAACA
ensembl:lncRNA